GUAGGUGGCAAGCGUUGUCCGGAAUUAUUGGGCGUAAAGCGCGCGCAGGCGGUUCUUUAAGUCUGAUGUGAAAGCCCACGGCUCAACCGUGGAGGGUCAUUGGAAACUGGAGAACUUGAGUACAGAAGAGGAAAGCGGAAUUCCACGUGUAGCGGUGAAAUGCGUAGAGAUGUGGAGGAACACCAGUGGCGAAGGCGGCUUUCUGGUCUGUAACUGACGCUGAGGCGCGAAAGCGUGGGGAGCAAACAGGGAUUAGAUACCCUGGUAGUCCACGCCGUAAACGAUGAGUGCUAAGUGUUAGGGGGGUUUUCCGCCCCCCUUAGUGCUGCAGCUAACGCAUUAAGCACUCCGCCUGGGGAUACGGCCGCAAGGCUG
rnacentral:rRNA from 1 species